rnacentral:rRNA from 1 species
AUGAUCGCUUCAGUCAAACAGCAUUUGUUGCGUGUCCAGCAGAGAAUGAAGCAUCAGGCAGACAAGAAACGGACUGAACGAGUUUUUGCUGUCAACGAUCUAGUGUUCCUCAAACUGCAACCAUACGUGCAAUCGUCAGUUGUCAGAAGAGCCAACCAUAAGCUUUCAUUCAAGUAUUUUGGUCCUUACAAGAUACUCGACAAAAUUGGAGAUGUUGCCUACCGACUGGAGCUGCCUCCUGACAGUCGCAUACACCCAGUGUUUCAUGUGUCUCAGCUCAAGAAGUUCAUUCCACCAACGACUCAGGUGCAAACAUAUCUGGCCGCAAGACAGUGA